rnacentral:snRNA from 1 species
AUCGCUUCUUGGCUCACCGAGCUUAGAUUAAGUGUAGUAUCUGUUCUUCUCAGGUUAGUACCCUGUGACGGAAACGAUUCGUUUCCUCUAUGUAUUAAUCGGAUUUUUGAACUUGGAGUACGGUGCUGGAGCUGGCUCCACCCUGCUCAUGGG